UCUCAUAAAACAUACUCUUACGGUCCUGCUACACAGACAUGAAGAGGAUUACCUUGAAUUCAACAGUCUAAAAAUAACCCUUUUUAUGGUUUCUUGUAUGCAUCAUCUUCUUCGUCACUAAUUUCCUUGUUGAAUACUGAUUGUCUUCCAAUUUAAAGAUGAUUAACGGUUCUCCUUUCUUCCAAGACUCCAACUACUACAGGUGAACAUAUUUUAGCGCAAGUCAUCAAUUACAAUUGCCAAUAGAUAAAGAUGGAUGGCGAUUUAAUAGAAAAAGAAAUAACAUACUACUAAAAGAAUGAAACUUGGCCCACGCCUCCUAUUUGUUCAGGGCUAUUCCGGUUAUUCCUUUCCGGCGGGUGAUUUAUUCAUGAAUUCCUCUCUCACUCAUGAUGAAAGCUAAGAGCUUGCUCAACCUGCUCAUGGCUAGAUCGAUCGGUUUCGGAAGCCUAAGCCAAGAAGGUACGAACGAAGUGACGGGCCCCUUUAGAAGAUAGGGGACGGCAUCCAAAAAUUCGAGAAGAGUGCUCGGACUUGUUUUCCCCCUCUUUCCUAUUCAAGAGUUCUCCUUUUAGGGGAUCUGGUCGAAAAAUC
rnacentral:lncRNA from 1 species